rnacentral:rRNA from 1 species
UACCUAGGGGCGCAGCAGUAGGGAAUCUUCGGCAAUGGGCGAAAGCUUGACCGAGCAACGCCGCGUGAAUGAAGAAGGCCUUCGGGUUGUAAAAUUCCGUUAUAAGGGAAGAAAGGUGAUAGGAGGAAAUGACUAUCAAUUGACGGUACCUUAUGAGAAAACCACGGCUAACUACGUGCCAGCAGCCGCGGUAAUACGUAGGUGGCAAGCGUUAUCCGGAAUUAUUGUGCGUAAAGAGCGCGCAGGUGGUUAAUUAAGUCUGAUGUGAAAG